rnacentral:lncRNA from 1 species
UUAUAUACGGUCGAAAUUGGGUUCGUACAUUGUAUGACCAGUCGAGACCGAAACAUGACGGGUCGGGGCUCGACCCCAGACGCGAAGUUGAAUCGUUGAGCUCGUGACUCCGGGACCAAACAAGAUCGAGGGAACUUUGUCGAGCCAAUUAACGGAAGGUUAAAAUAUCUGCGAUCAGUUGGAGAUCACGACGAAAAUCUCGGCACGUAUCAAGGAGAAGCCGAUUAAUUAGCAAAUCAUGAGAUUUUUAACUUUUACAGAAUUAUAUCAAGAGUAUGGCUCCCCUACUAUAAAAAAGGAGGUCUAAUCAUUUGUUAAGGACAUUGUAACACGCAUCAAAGAAGCAAUAUAUUGAUCAUUUCUAGUUCGUGUUAACUUGUUCUGUUGUUGAUCGAGGCAUUUCCAAACUAGAGGGUGACCAAUCUUCAAAGCUAAGACUGUUCAAUUUUUGUGGUUUGCAAUUAUUUUUUCCUGAUUAAUUUAGUAUUGAUCUAUUUUCUCAAUUUAUAUCAAGUUAUAUCACGUAUCCUUAAAACCGUAUAUAAAUUCAAUUGUUAUUACAUUUUAGGAUAAACAACCUCAAACGAGUGUCGCCAAAUAACGAGAGUCUCCAACUUUACAAUUUCAGUUUGGAUGCAAAAUUGCUACGGCAAGCGACGAGGACCGAAACCUGAACCACGGACGCCUGACGGACCUCAAAUCGGAAACAAUGAACAACGAUCUCAAACGGAAAACUCGAAAACCCGCAGCAGUGAAAACUUAAAAGUGAGUUUGUCGGUGGCCGGAUUUUACAUUACAGGUGUUUGGAUGUGGUGUUAAUGGAGGUAUUGGCUGGUUUUUGAAGCUUAUUUAAUGGAGGUUUACAUGGUAUUUUAAUGGUGGAGAGGAGAUGAUGUGAAGAAGAUUGAAAGCAGUAUGAAGGAAUAUCCGGAAAAUCACUGUUGGUAUAGGAAUUUUGGCUAGACCAGUAGUGGUGCCGCCGUCUCUAUUUGUGCUCUCUGUUCGUGCCUUCCCCGUCCGUCC